rnacentral:ncRNA from 2 species
UAUUCCGGCUGGGGGAGCUUAAAAUUUUAACUUAUUGUUAAGCGAUUUAACUUUAAUUUAAGAGAUCUUUUAAGCUGAGAGUGGUUUAAUGCCUGACUCCUCGUACCUGAUGCAGUUAAUACUGACGUAGGAAAGCUCGAUAAAAUUAAG